rnacentral:rRNA from 1 species
GAUGAACGCUGACAGAAUGCUUAACACAUGCAAGUCGAACGGUAAGGCCCUUCGGGGUACACGAGUGGCGAGCGGGUGAGUAACACGUGGGUGAUCUGCCCUGCACUUCGGGAUAAGCCUGGGAAACUGGGUCUAAUACCGGAUAGGACCACUGCCUGCAUGGGUGGUGGUGGAAAGCUUUUGCGGUGUGGGAUGGGCCCGCGGCCUAUCAGCUUGUUGGUGGGGUGAUGGCCUACCAAGGCGACGACGGGUAGCCGGCCUGAGAGGGUGACCGGCCACACUGGGACUGAGAUACGGCCCAGACUCCUACGGGAGGCAGCAGUGGGGAAUAUUGCACAAUGGGCGCAAGCCUGAUGCAGCGACGCCGCGUGAGGGAUGACGGCCUUCGGGUUGUAAACCUCUUUCAGCACCGACGAAGCGCAAGUGACGGUAGGUGCAGAAGAAGGACCGGCCAACUACGUGCCAGCCGCCGCUGUAA